rnacentral:rRNA from 1 species
GGGUCAUGGGGGCGUGCUAUACAUAGCAGUCGAGCGGGAGAAUCAUCCUUGAGAUGAGAAUUCAGCGGCGAACGCGGAUAACACGUAAGGGCACACUCUGCCCGCAACAAGCGGAUAUACUACGGGAACAGGGGACUUAAUACCGGUUCUCUUUUCCCCCGAUGGAAAAGGGAAAGGCGGGUUUGGUUAUUGGGAUGGGCCCCGGCGCCUUAAAGUGGUUGGUGAGGAACGCUCCACCAAGGGGCGAGUGCUGCCACCUUGAGGGGUGAUGGCCACACAUGGGGAUGGACACGGCCCCAGAUCUACGGGAGGCACAUAGGGAAUUUUCCCAAUGGGGAAAGCCUUGAGGAGCAACGCCGCUGAGUGAGGACGGCCUUCGGGGUUGUAAAACUCUGUUCUUGAGGAAGAAUUCCUUCCAGGCGAACAGCCUGGAAGGUUGACGGUACUCAAGGAGAAAGCCCCGGCUAACUACGUGCCAGCAGCCGCGGUAAUACGUAGGGGGCGAGCGUUAUCCGGAAUUAUUGGGCGUAAAGCGCGCGCAGGCGGCUGAUUAAGUCAGGUGUGAAAGGCUGCGGCUCAACCGCAGAGCGGCACCUGAAACUGGUCAGCUUGAGUGCAGGAGAGGGGAGCGGAAUUCCCGGUGUAGCGGUGGAAUGCGUAGAGAUCGGGAGGAACACCAGUGGCGAAGGCGGCUCUCUGGCCUGUAACUGACGCUGAGGCGCGAAAGCGUGGGGAGCAAACAGGAUUAGAUACCCUGGUAGUCCACGCCGUAAACGAUGAGUGCUAGGGUUUUGGGGGGGUCCCCCCUCAUGCCAAAGGUACCCUUAAGCCUCCCCGGGGAGAUUACGGCCCAAGGCUAAACUUCAAAGGAUUGACGGGGGCCCCGCACAACGGUGGAGCAGUGGGUUUAAUUCCGAAGCAACCGCGAUAAACCUUACCAGGGGCUUGACAUCCCGCCUGACCCCUCCCAAGAUGGAGGUUUCCUUCGGAACACGGUGUACAGAGUGUCCAUGGUUUGUCUCCCUGCCGGUGAGAUGUUGGGUGCAGUCCCCACAAGAACCUUGUCUUAAUUGCAGCUUUCAAUGGGCAUCUACUAACAGCCCCGGUGAACCCGGAAGGAAGGGUGGUGGAUUGCUCCAAUCCCAGCCCUCUUAAGUCCUUGGGUUACACACUGCCCUACAUGGGGCGGUACACAAUGGGAGGGGAACGGCCGAGGGGACCCAUCCCAAGCAGUGACUCCAGUUCCAUCAGCUAGCAACUAGCCUGCGUGAGCCGAACGCUGUAUCGCGAUCAGCUGCCGCGGUGAUCGUGUCGAACGGCCUUGACACACGCACUCAGCACCAGCGGGUGCAACAAUCUCGAAGUCGGUGAGGCACCUUUAGGAGCC